UACAGAGGGGGCGAGCGUUAUUCGGAAUCAUUGGGCGUAAAGGGCGCGUAGGCGGCUUGGCAAGUCAAAGGUGAAAUCCCUCGGCUCAACCGAGGAACUGCCUUUGAAACUGCCUCGCUUGAGGCCGGGAGAGGGUAGUGGAAUUCCCAGUGUAGCGGUGAAAUGCGUAGAUAUUGGGAGGAACACCGGUGGCGAAGGCGGCUACCUGGACCGGUUCUGACGCUGAGGCGCGAAAGCGUGGGGAUCAAACAGG
rnacentral:rRNA from 1 species